AACUCCGUUUGAAAACUCAAUAAUCGCCCGAUUCUACCGUCUAGAAAAAAAAAAAAAAACCCAAAACAAAUUACAAUAAUAAGUCGCGGCGUCCCGUUAAUCCCGUUACGUUUUAAGGCCCGUUGGUUUUAAUUUAAUUAAAGGACCGGUGAAGAAUAACAGGGUUUGACUGCAAUGGAUGACAGGGAACUCCGUCGUGGCUGCACUGUGCGCGCGUUAUUGGUUUACGGAUAAAGAGAUCGCGACGAGGCGGACGGGAAGGAAACUGCGAUGGAAAUCCUUGUGGAAAUUAUUGCUUUUGACGUCGUUGUCGUCAGUUUAGAGGGCUCGGUUUUUCCGGUACGUACGGUGUGUCGUCGGGGUUUAGUCGUUUGCAGCAGACGGCCGUGACAUUUUUUUUUUUUUUUUUUAAAAACCCCCUUCCUUUCAAACAACGUCAAAAUACGUAAAUCCUACGCGCCCAUAUACAAGAGAUGAGACGUAUUUUACGGCUCUUUAUAUUAUUGUAUAACAAAUAAAACAGAAAAACAAAAAUCAAAAGACAAUAACCGUGUCUAUCAAUACACUCGCGGCUGCCCGCGUGACAAUUGUUAUUUUUAUAAUUUUCCACACUCACCGGAAACCGAGCGGAAAAAAAAAACCACAGUCGCCAAAGAUAUUAUUAUUGCGUCGCUUAUCAACGGUUGAACCACUUUACAAAUGUAUGCACACGGAUUUCCGAUGUUUUUUUCGUACAUCGA